rnacentral:tRNA from 1 species
CAGAAAAUAGUUUACUACAAAACAUUAAUUUUGGAAAUUAAAAACCAGACACACCCUGUUUUCUGA